UACAGAGGUCUCAAGCGUUGUUCGGAUUCAUUGGGCGUAAAGGGUGCGUAGGCGGCGCGGUAAGUCGGGUGUGAAAUCUCGGAGCUUAACUCCGAAACUGACAUUCGAUACUGCCGUGCUUGAGGACUGGAGAGGAGACUGGAAUUUACGGUGUAGCGGUGAAAUGCGUAGAUAUCGUAAGGAAGACCAGUGGCGAAGGCGGCAUCCUGGACCAACACUGACACUGAGGAGCGAAAGCCAGGGGAGCAAACGGG
rnacentral:rRNA from 1 species